rnacentral:rRNA from 1 species
UACGGGGGGAGCAAGCGUUGUUCGGAUUUACUGGGCGUAAAGGGCGCGUAGGCGGCCUGUGCAAGUCAGUUGUGAAAUCUCCGAGCUUAACUCGGAACGGUCAACUGAUACUGCUCGGCUAGAGUGCGGAAGGGGCAACUGGAAUUCUUGGUGUAGCGGUGAAAUGCGUAGAUAUCAAGAGGAACACCUGCGGCGAAGGCGGGUUGCUGGGCCGACACUGACGCUGAGGCGCGGAAGCUAGGGGAGCGAACGGG